UGGGGAAUCUUGCACAAUGGGGGAAACCCUGAUGCAGCGACGCCGCGUGAGCGAUGGAGCCCUUCGGGGUGUAAAGCUCUUUCGACGGGAACGAUAAUGACGGUACCCGGAGAAGAAGCUGCGGCUAACUACGUGCCAGCAGCCGCGGUAAUACGUAGGCAGCAAGCGUUGUUCGGAGUUACUGGGCGUAAAGAGUGUGUAGGCGGUUCGCUAAGUUUGGUGUGAAAUCUCCCGGCUUAACUGGGAGGGUGCGCCGAAUACUGGUGGGCUAGAGUGUGGGAGAGGGAAGCGGAAUUCCUGGUGUAGCGGUGAAAUGCGUAGAUAUCAGGAGGAACACCGGUGGUGUAGACGGCUUCCUGGACCACAACUGACGCUGAGACACGAAAGCGUGGGGAGCAAACAGGAUUAGAUACCCUGGUAGUCCACGCCCUAAACGAUGCGGACUUGGUGUGGGCAGUUCAGUCUGUCCGUGCCGGAGCUAACGCGUUAAGUCCGCCGCCUGGGGAG
rnacentral:rRNA from 1 species